GGGGCCCGCGGCUGGAGGGGGAGUCGCUGCCUCACCCGCGCCUGGCGCCCGCGGCUCCCUCCGCCUCGCCGGCGUUGGCCCACCCUCUCGUAGCUCACCCCGCGAGGCUGGACAGCUCCCGGAACCCCGGAACCGGGAUCUAUUUCGGGGGCUCGGCUGCGUGGCGCCCAGGACUCUCCAGGGUCUCCCAGGAUCGCUCCCCGAAUUCGAGUCGCCCCCUCUCUCUUUCGGGAAUACCAGCUGAUGUCAGUCCGCCAGCCAAAACCAGGGAGGAGAAGCGGGAGCCAGCCCUCUGGAGUCGGGAGAAGGUCUGGGGAGUGGGGUAGAGGGGAAAGCAAAGUCCAAAUACCUUCCCUUCAGACACCUCCUGGGGCCUAGACCCCACAAACCUGUUGUGGGGAGGGCAAAAUACGAUGACUACGUUCCCAGGAAGAAGGUGCCACAGCUCUUCAGGACCACGGUUGGGAGAAAGAAUGGAGGGGUUUUAGAACCUUCAGUGUGCGACUUCAUGUGCCAGUCUUCAUCUCAGGAUCUCAAGCUCUUGGAUCAUGGGCACGGAUAACCUGUUGUCCUCCUCUAUGGUCAAGAGGCUGCUUUUGCAAAGAAUCCAGUGGGAGAGAGUCAAUGGCCUGCUUGACGUGAACUCCAAAGUCCUCCUGAUCAGAAUACCAAUUUCUUACUGGGUCUGGAAAGGAGGAGAGAAGGAUAGAGAGUUUCUUCUAGGACCAAAUUGAUUCCUCCACAAAUAGGAAGAUCCCCAGACUGUGUGCACACACCCUCCUCCUCCUUCCUUCUCCAACCCUGGCUGGACCAUGACAUCACAUGGUGGAGGCUGUUUUUUAAAAAGAACUCAGGCCAGAUUUACAAGAAUGAUGCUCAGGCAGCGUGACUGUCAAGGACCGUGGCCAAGUGACCCAUAGCACACACCCAGCAGUGCUGAGAACAUAGCUAGUCCCUUAGCACCUGGGGCUGACUCAUGGUUGCUGUAGGACCCAAUGCCAGAUGCCAGGAUUGCUUUCUCCCUCCAUUCAUUAGGACUGUCCCAUGAAACCCUCCCCAGGAACCCUUCUACCCCAUCCCGGCAUGCCAGGAGCCUGGAUACUGCAUAACACAGGGUACUCAUAUUUGUUUACCAAGCCUUGAAGAUGACAGGCAAUAUGCUGAUAUGCUCAAUGCAUCAUACAAAUUGUUUUAUUUAAAACUGAACUAUUAAAUUAAGUAUCAUAGCAACUCACUUUACAGACAAGGAAACUGAAGCUCAAAGGUUAAGUAAGGGCCAGGCAUGGUGGCUCACUCCUGUAAUCCCAGCAGUUUGGGAGGCUGAGGUGGGAGGAGGAUUGCUUAAGCCCGCGAGUUUGAGACCAGCCUAGGCAAUAUAGGGAGACCCCAUCUCUACAAAAAAUUAUCUGGGCCUGGUGAUGUGUGCCUGUAGUCCCAGCUACUUGAGAGGCUGAGGUGGGAGGAUUGCUUGAGCCCAGAAGUUGAGGCUGCAGUGAGCCAUGAUCAUGCCAUUGUACUCCAGCCUGGGCAGCAAAGCAAAACCCUGUAUUGAAAACAAACAAACAGGCUGGGCACGGUGGCUCACACCUGUAAUCCCAACACUUUGGGAGGCCGAGGCAGGUGGAUCACCUGAGGUCAGGAGUUAGAGACCAGCCUGGCCAACAUGGUGAAACCCGCCUCUACUGAAAAUACAAAAAUUAGCAGGGCAUUGUGGCACAUGCCAAGGUGGGCAGAUCACCUGAGGUCAGGAGUUCGAGACCAGCCUGGCCAACAUGGUGAAACCCCAUCUCUACUAAAAAUACAAAAAUUAGCUGGGCGUGGUGGUGGGCGCCUGUAGUCCCAGCUACUCAGGAGGCUGAGGCAGGAGAAUCGCUUGAACCUG
ensembl:lncRNA RAMP2-AS1 RAMP2 antisense RNA 1